CACAAAGUUUGGGUGCUUCUCUGAAUUUUUUCCCAUCAGUAAGACUCCUCUGAUCUUUAGGGCAAGCAAAAAUGACACUGUGGAUAAGCCUCAUAUUGUUAUCACUAGUCCUCAGAGGUGUCCAGUCAGAGGUCCAGUUGGUGGAGUCCGGAGGGGACGUGAGAAGACCUGGAGAGUCCCUCCAUCUCUCCUGCCAAGCUUCCGGAUACACCUUCAGCAGCUACUGGAUGCAUUGGGUGAGGCAGUAUCCAGGGAAAGGACUGGAAUGGGUCGCAGGCAUAAACCCCAGUUCCGGUGCUAUUUACUACUCAGACAAAGUCAAGGGACGCUUCACCAUCUCCAGGGACAAUUAUAGUUGCUACUUCUCAUCUUUCACACUGGAAGGCAGCAUUGGCUCCGGAUUCACCUUCAGCAGCUACUGGAUGCAUUGGGUGAGGCAGUAUCCGGGGAAAGGACUGGAAUGCGUGGCAUACAUAAACCCCCGUUCCAGCCCUAUUUACUACUCAGACAAGGUCAAGGGACGCUUCACCAUCUCCAGGGACAAUGCCAAAAGCCAGCUGUAUCUUCAAAUGAACAGCCUCAAGCUGGAGGACACCGGACUCUAUUACUGCACGAGAGACACAGUGAGAAGAAGUGAAUCUGAAGCCUGGAAAAAACUGCCCGUUCCUCAGAGCAGCUCUGCGAGUUCAUCCAUGAACCAGAGCUUCAACUGCUAUGCCAAAAUUGUGAAGAAUCAUGCCUAA